AGUAUACAAUUUAUUUCUCCAUGGGCAACAAGACAUGCCAGCAACUGCACGGCUACUUCUCCAUUUAGCCAGACAGAGAAUAAAGGGUCCCUGUAUUCAUGCCUUCCUGGAAAUCUCAGUGCAAGGCCCUAUCAGGAGGUUUCCUGGAGCAGCUAAGGGAACAGCUAGACCACCCAGGAAGAAAUGACAGAAGCCUACCUGACUUCCAAUCUGCUUGCUUCAUGGUGUAAUGGGGGCCUAGACAGAAGCACCCCAAGGACACUUACAACAACUGUUCUGCCAGCUCUAGUCCAUUGGAGAAGAUGUGCCAACAUACCUUCUCACCAUCCCUAGAGCCCAACCUUGCUAUGGAAAGGUCAAACCCUUACCAUUGGCCCUGCCAAGGAUCCCCAGACAGAGAAGCACAAUGGAGGCCAUAAAUUAUGGCUUCUUAUCAUGGCCUCCACAUAACUUAAACUCUGGAUGGUGAAUGAAAUCUGGGGCCAAGUCUUAAAGGGUCAGGGUAGCCAAUGAGCAUAACUCAAUAUUUGUGUUUCUAAGAGAAAACCACAGAACCUCCAUAUCCAUGGCAAACUGGCCAGCCACAGGCUGGAUCCAGUGUGCAGUAGUGUUUUGUGUACACCAUUCACUAUUUGUCUACUUGGGUUAAAAAUGUUUUAUAUUAGUUAGCAAUGUUUAAACAUUGGGAGAAUUAAAGGGAAAUGAAAACGUACUUCCCACAAAUACUUGCACAUAAAUAUUCACAGCAGCAUUGUUUAUAAUUGCCCAAAACUAGAAACAACCCAAAUAUCCAUCAACUGAUGAAUGAUAAACAAGUUGUGGUAUAUUCAUCCAAUAAAACAAUAUUCAGCAAUAAAAAUAAACAAAUCAGGCACUUAAUAUAAUUGAAUAUCAAGGUCAUUAUGUUGAGUGAAAGAGGCCAGAAAAUAAAAGUAUACACUAUUUGAUUCCAUUUAUAUAAUAUUCUAGAAAAUGAAAACCAGUCUAUACUUACAGAAAACAAGGUGGUAGCUUACAGAGAUGGGGUAGAGGGAGGGAGAGAUGACAGAGAGGCAUAAAAAAACUUUCCGGACAAUGAAAAUGUUCUGUAUUUUAAUUGUGGUGAUGGUUUCAUGGAUGUACAAGUUCAUCAAAUCUCAUCAAGUUAAAUAUAUGCAUUUAUUUUAUAUUAAGUGUACCUCAAUAAAGCAGAAAAAUUUAAAAUUGGUAAUAUUUAUAUACAAAUUGAGAUAUCUAUAUUUCUUGAAAAUCAAAAUGUCUGACAUCAUUUGGUCUACAUAUUUAUCUGCCAAAAAUACAGGAGAUAGACAGUAGCUGUCCUUUAGAAGGGGCAUACCCUUUCGAGUUUGCAACAGGCCUUCAUACUUCCUGCUGCUUACCCAGCAUUCAUUACAUGUUUAUUGUCAUUUAUUUAAGUUACUUAUUGUGAACCUAAUGCAUGUAUGGCCUCAUUCUAGGUACUGGAGACUAAACAUGCAAACACACCUAACUGGCAUGGUUUCCAUUUGCCUAAUUGUCACGGGGUACCAUGAAGUUUACAUUUUAGUGAGAUUGGAGAAAGAUAGACAUUUAGAGUUAAUAAGUUGGAUAAAUAGUAUAUUAGGUGGAAAGAAGUAUAAGAAAAAAACAUACAGCCAGGAAGAAGUAUAGACAGUUCCAGAGCUAAAAUGUUAGCCAUGGAUCCCAGGAAGUCCUCACUGAAAGGUGACUUUGGGAGGAAACCUGUAGAAGGUGAGGAAUUGAGCUAUGCAUAUAACCCAGGGAAGAGCAUUCUAGACAGACAUGACAGUCCAUGAGAAGAUUCUAGGCAAGGGAGGUAGCCCAGGGUCUUCAACCAACAGCAAGGAGGCUAAUCUAGCUUGGCACAGAGUAACAAGAGAUGAGAUCAGAGAAAUAACAGGGUAGAGAUGGUGUGGAGUCUUAUAGAUUAUUGAAGGGAGUUUGUCAUUUACUGGAUGAAAUAGGAAGCCUUUGGAGGGUGUUGUUAAUUGUAAUCAUGAUAGGGUUAUUACUUUUCUUAUAGUAGAGUUCAAAAGAAAGGAAAACUUAUUUUUGUAACCAGGUCAUUAACCUGGCCCCUGUAGACAUCUGAGUUUGUAAUUUCUGUCAUAUUUUAUCUAAAUAUCAUGAUAGAGAACAAAAUAUCUGACUGGUUCUGUACUGAUAGGCAGUCAGUCAUGCUGGCUAACUUUCAGAAAUAUGCCAUGUUUGGUGGUCUCCUUUCUCUCUGUUUUCUCUAGGUUGAAUAUGGGGAUUCAACCACAUCACUUCACUCUCUCACCCCUUAUAGCACACGCUUCUCUCCCUUUCCUUGGCAUCCCCUGGCCCUAUCAUGACCUGAGGUCUUCCCUACCACUUUGGGGGCUCCCAUCUAAAAAUGCAUUCUAAGUCCUCUACCUGGAACUAAUUUAUCUCCAGGUCUACACUACUGAUAACAAGAUAUACGAUCCCUUGCAAAGGAACUUGUAACACCCUGAAAUUACUCAGAAAUCACACCUCACAGGAGAUUGAGACCAUCCUGGCUAACACGGUGAAACCCCGUCUCUACUAAAAAUACAAAAAAUUAGCCAGGCGUGGUGGUGGGCGCCUGUAGUCCCAGCUACUCAGGAGGCUGAGGCAGGAGAAUGGCAUGAACCCAGGAGGAGGACCUUGCAGUGAGCCGAGAUCGCGCCACUGCACUCCAGCCCGGGCGACAGAGCAAGACUCCGUCUCAAAAAAAAAAAAAAAAAAAGAAAGAAAAGAAAUCACACCUCACAGGCAAACUCUGUAAGUGGGCUCCUGUAGGAAAGCAGCCUGUUGCAUGGCAAGAAAAAUGCCAUCUUGAAGUGAAAUCGUCAUUAAUUCCUGCAUAUCCAGGCAUUCCCACAGCAAGGUCAAGAAACAAUGCCUAUAUCAUAGAUAACUUCUCAUAAAGAUGCUUCUCUAACUUCCCCAGUGGUCAUGAAUGUCAUAAGAGGGUCUGAGACGUGACCAGCAGCGCAUGUCUUACCAAAAAAAAAAGCUUGCUACAGAAAGGAUAUUUUCUGGAGUGCCGAGUGUGGGGAUCCAUCAUCUUGUGGCUACCCAAAGCAUGGCUUCUGUUUGUUACGUCCCUACUAAAUGUUUCUUUCUGGGAAACUGAAUUUGUCAGCCUCUUUCUUUGGCCUGUCAGCUCUCUUGGCUUUCGGGGGUAGAUCUGCAUAUACCUACUCACCCAGAACAUUUGGUGAGUCAGUCAGGAGCUAAGAGGCCAAGAGACAGGAAAGGGGAAUGAAGCAUCUGUACGGGAAAUCCCAGGCCAGCCACGUCUAUGUGGGAUGGUGUGGCACGUCUGUUAGAUGCAUUUGGACUCUGUGUGACUAUGGAGACACCCUGAACAAGCUGGUUGGCCUAGAGUGGUUAUUAACUGAAAGGCAUAUGGUGCAGUGUGGUAAGGAAGGGCAGUGGAUAGCCACUGCAGUGGGUUGGCUGCUUCUGUGGGCCAUUUGUUUGUCAACACAGGUUUAGCUAGCAAUAGAAAUGAAAAGCAAAUGGCUAGAGGAAAAUUGCACCAACCUGAUAGAAAAGGACAUGUGCCUUUUCACUUCUCUGAUUGCGUCCAGUGUAGCUACAUGUUUUACCAAAAAAAAAAAGAAAAAAAAAAAGCCUGCUAUAGAAAGAAUAUUUCAGGAGGGUAGGUGUGGAAAUCUAUGGUCUCUCAGCUGCCCAAGGCAUUGCUUCUGUUCAUAGGUUCCUAUCAAAUGUUUCUUUCUGAGAAACUGGAUUUGUCAGCCUCUUUUCUCUGGCUUCCCAGCUUCCUUGGCCUUUGAGGGGGAGACCUGCAUAUAUCUGUUCACUGCAGAACAGCCCCAUACAUGAAAUGAAUUUUGAGAUUAGAGGAAGAAGUUUCAUUUAUAAGCCCAAAGCAAACAAUUAGGAAAAAAAAUUAUGCUCAGGAAGUUAGGGACUAAGAACUAACCUAAUUACAGGGCUAAAGAAGGAAAUUUGGCCAAAAUAAUCUGACAGAAUGCAAUUUCAACAAAGGCAAAUUAAACCAAGGUAAGUCACUCCAUGUACAUUUGUGUCUAAAUUAAUAUCCCUAGUCACAAAUAACAACUUAAACUUAUAGAAGUAGUUGAUGAAACCAGCUGACACAGAGAGCCAUGUAUCAAUCUUGAUUAUAGAACCUUCUGGAGAUCAUGGUUAUUUCAAAAUAUAUGGACACUGAGGGUGCAUCAAAAGGGCUAAAAGAUUAUGGCUAGAAGAUAAAAUAGAUGUGUCUCUCUAUUCCUUUCUCUAGAUAUAGCUAAAAUCUCUGGACAUCAUACAUAAACAUAAAAAUACUCGGAAAGGUGGAGACAAAAAAACAGGUCAGUUAGGGACUUUGAAACCUUAAAAAACAGCAUGGCACUGAGGUCUCUAGAUUUCCUCGUGCCUUAUAUAUUUCAUACUGGAUGCUAGAGAAGCCUGCAACCCAAAAUACCAACAUACACUGAUAAAAGAAAAAAAAGCCCCAAGAAAACCAAGGAAGGGUCAAAGGGUCAGCCUAGUGAAAAAGAAAAAAUCAUCUAAUUAAUUCAAUUUUUAAAAAAUAAUUUCAACUUUUAUUUUAGAUUCAAGGAAUAAAUGUGUAGGUUUGUUUCCUGGGUAUACUGUAUGAUGCUGAGGUUUGGGGUAUGAUUGACCCUGUCACCCAGACAGUGAUCAUAGUACCCAAUAGCUUUUCAACCCUUGCCCUCCCCCUUCCCUUGCCCCUUUAGCGGUCUCCAGUGUCUAUUGUUUCCAUAUUUAUGUCCAUGAGUAUCCACUGUUUAGCUCCAACUUAUAAGUGAAAAGAUGUGGUAUUUGUUUUUCUGUUUCUGUAUUGAUUAGCUUAUGAUAUGGUUAGGCUCUGUGUCCCCACCCAAAUCUCAUCUUGAAUUUUAAUCCCCAUAAUCCCCAUAUGUUGAGGGUGGAACAGGUGCAGAUAAUUGAAUCAUAGGGGCAGUUUCCUCUAUGCUGUUCUUAUGAUAAUGAGUGAGUUUUCAUGAGAUCCAAUGGUUUUAUAAGGGGCUUCCCCUCUUCACUUGGCACUCACUCCAUCCUGCCACCCUAUGAAGAAGGUGCAUGCUUUUCCUUUGCCUUCUGCCAUGAUUGUAAGUUUCCUGAGGCCUCCCCAGCAAUACGGAACUGUGAGUUAAUUAAAUCUCUUUCCUUUAUAAAUUACCAAGUCUCAGGUAUUUCUUCAUAGCAGCAUGAGAAUGGACUAAUACAGCUUAGGAUAAUGGCCUUCAGCUGCAUCCAUGUUGCUACAAAGGACAUGAUUUUCUUCCUUUCUAUGGCUACAUAGUAUCCUACGGUACAUAUAUACCACACUUUCUUUAUGCAGUCCACCAUUGACGGGCACCUAGGUUGAUUCUGUGUCUUUGCUAUUAUGAAUACUGCUACAAUGUACAAACAAGUACAUGUGUCUUUUCGGUAGAAUAAUUUAUUUUCUUUUGAAUAUAUACCCAGUAAUGAGAUUGCUGGGUCAAGUGGUAGUUCUAAGUUCCUUGAGAAAUCUCCAAAGUGCAGAAAUAAAAUUUUUGACAAUAACCACCCAACUCCAGCCAAACAUUAGGAGGAAAACUGUAGCCCUGUCCUGAUCCCAUCAGCAAAGGCCAAGUGGGAACGCUAUACUUCCACCUUUACCCAGAUGUAAUGAGGUGCUCUCUUUCCUCCUGAGAGUGCCAAUGAAAGCUGCACUGGGAACCUAAACCUCUACCCCCAUGUGGCAGUUAUGGGGCAGCACUUUCCUUUCCAUGCUGAUGUGGUUUCAGAUGAGGCUUGCUGAAACAGAAAAUUUAAACAAGAUCCAGAGUCUUCUGACUUAAUGCCUCAAAUGUCCACAAUAUUAAAGUUUACUCAUCACACCAAAAACCAAAAAAAAACUCAAUGUGAAUGAGAAAAGACAAUAACCAGAUGCUGUCUUAGUCUAUUUUGUGCUGCUACAGCUGAUCACCGACUGGGUAAUUUAUAAUAAACAGAAAUUUAUUGGCUCAUGGUUCCAGAGGCAGGGAAAUCCAAGAUCAAGAGGCCAGCAUCUGGCGAGGGCUUUCUUGCUAUGUCAUCCCAUGGUGGAAGAGCAAAGAGAGAAUAAGAGAGGGAGAGUAAGAAAGGAGAGGGGCAGAAAGAGAGGGCUGAACUUGUUUAAUUAAAAAAACAAACCCACUCCCAUAAUAAUGAACCCAGUCCAGUGAUGACAGCAUUAAUC
rnacentral:lncRNA from 1 species